UGGGGUCUAGCUCAGUUAGUAGAGCACUUGCCUCACAUGCAUAAGGCACUGGGUUCAAUCCCUAGCACCAUAA
rnacentral:tRNA from 1 species